rnacentral:rRNA from 1 species
UGCAUAUCCAAAAGCGGAGGAAAAGAAACCAACAGGGAUUGCCUUAGUAGCGGCGAGUGAAGCGGCAAAAGCUCAAAUUUGAAAUCUGGCUCUUUCAGAGUCCGAGUUGUAAUUUGAAGAAGGUAUCUUUGGGUCUGGCUCUUGUCUAUGUUUCUUGGAACAGAACGUCACAGAGGGUGAGAAUCCCGUGCGAUGAGAUGAUCCAGGCCUAUGUAAAGUUCCUUCGAAGAGUCGAGUUGUUUGGGAAUGCAGCUCUAAGUGGGUGGUAAAUUCCAUCUAAAGCUAAAUAUUGGCGAGAGACCGAUAGCGAACAAGUACAGUGAUGGAAAGAUGAAAAGAACUUUGAAAAGAGAGUGAAAAAGUACGUGAAAUUGUUGAAAGGGAAGGGCUUGAGAUCAGACUUGGUAUUUUGUAUGUUACUUCUUCGGGGGUGGCCUCUACAGUUUAUCGGGCCAGCAUCAGUUUGGGCGGUAGGAGAAUUGCGUUGGAAUGUGGCACGGCUUCGGUUGUGUGUUAUAGCCUUCGUCGAUACUGCCAGCCUAGACUGAGGACUGCGGUUUAUACCUA